rnacentral:lncRNA from 1 species
GAAUCUCAGUAAUUUGAUGUAUGCAAUUUAGGUCACCAUUCUGAUUUCAACAAUGAAAAAAAAAAAUAAUGUUGCAAAGCAAGCUUAAAAAAAGCACCCUCAUUUAAACAUUUAAAAUAAUAUAAAUGAGAGAAAUAUCAGUCUGACACACUGAUCUAUGUACAAGAGGAAAAUAAUAAACAGAUAUGAUAUACAGUAACAAAUGACAACCACUGAUCUAUAGGCUCCUGGCUUGGGAUAUUCCCAUACAAAAUGUGGCAGGGUUAAUCAUGUUUGCUGGUUCCAAAUCCCCUCAUUUUGGACAGUGGAAUAACAGAA